GAUGAACGCUGGCGGCGUGCCUAAUACAUGCAAGUCGAGCGAACAGACGAGGAGCUUGCUCCUCUGACGUUAGCGGCGGACGGGUGAGUAACACGUGGAUAACCUACCUAUAAGACUGGGAUAACUUCGGGAAACCGGAGCUAAUACCGGAUAAUAUAUUGAACCGCAUGGUUCAAUAGUGAAAGACGGUUUUGCUGUCUCUUAUAGAUGGAUCCGCGCCGGAUUAGCUAGUUGGUAAGGUAACGGCUUACCAAGGCGACGAUGCGUAGCCGACCUGAGAGGGUGAUCGGCCACACUGGAACUGAGACACGGUCCAGACUCCUACGGGAGGCAGCAGUAGGGAAUCUUCCGCAAUGGGCGAAAGCCUGACGGAGCAACGCCGCGUGAGUGAUGAAGGUCUUCGGAUCGUAAAACUCUGUUAUUAGGGAAGAACAAAUGUGUAAGUAACUAUGCACGUCUUGACGGUACCUAAUCAGAAAGCCACGGCUAACUACGUG
rnacentral:rRNA from 1 species